GUACGGUUUCGGUGUGUCUGUGGUUUUGUUUGAGCUUCUUGCGAAGUGAGAGAUUGCAGCCUAAAGAAAAGGUCGAUUCUGCUGAAGUUGGCUUAUUAGGGCCGCUUCUAUCUCGGAACGCCCACCUGGGU
rfam:Sulfurimonas sp. RIFOXYB2_FTLL_37_5 rifoxyb2_full_scaffold_75997, whole genome shotgun sequence.